GUAACCGCUCGAAUAGAAUUGUACGAUGAAAAAACCAUGAAUUCCAUAAUCACAAACCAUAAAUUUUAUGGUCUACACAAUGAAUAUUAUCGUCUCCGAUACCGUGAAUGUACAUUGGAAUUCAUAGUUUCCGACCAUACAUUUCACUGUUUUGGCGAAAAUAACCAUGAAAAAGGGGUAUUGUUAUGCAGCGUGACCAUGAAAAAAAUGGCGUUUUCCCAUACAUUUGGAAGCUCAAAAAUAUGAAGUUCAUGGUGAUUACAGCUUCCACUUUUUCACAAUAAAACCAUGAAAAUCCGUUUAUUUCCAUUGUUUAAACGAAGAUGGAAAUCAAGGUUUUUCAAUGGUAUGUGGAAAAACAAGACUCCUUAAAUUGUCAAGAAUCUAUUGCAGCAAAUCCGUCAUCGUUCCCAAUAACUCGCAAAUGUCUGAGUUGCCGUCCAUUCUCGGGUUUCUGUCGGGUUUUUAUUUUUCCACCGUGGCUGGAAGCGGAGCAUUCUUCGGUGUGCGUGAUCCAGGUUUGAAGCAGUAUGAUACGGCGUGUGGUCAUACCCGUUUCCGAGCCAAAUUUACCGGAACUAAGUUGCCCGUCUUGGAGUGUCCACUGUAAAAUAAAUUAAUAAUAAAUAUAAACAAAUAUUAAACAAUUAUUCUUGAAAUGUACUCACCACCAAAGUUUUCGCUGUUCUUUCCGUUGACCAGGAGCUGAGCUGGGUUGAGCUAAUACCAGGCAGUUUGGGACAAGGGAUUCCAUCAAUCGUACCUUCCGAUGGCAUCUUCCCGAUCUCACACUUCACCGAAAGCUUUUUCCGCUGCCCCAGGAACGGCGCCCAAAAGGAAGUACUAUUUGUUUCACCUUUCAGAAAGAGAGUGAAUACAUUAAUUUCAAUAAACCUAUAGCUAUUCAUAAAACGAA